rnacentral:misc_RNA from 1 species
CCGAGUUCAUGCCCUCACGGGUAGAUCUCCCACCCUGUGUAUACCUUACCUUUUUGCUUUGGCGGGCCGCCUGGCUACCGGCUUCGGCUGGUAAGUGCCCGCCAAAGGACCCCAAACCCUAACCCAUUACCGUAUCGUCUGAGUAAAAAUCUCAAUAUUUA